AUUUUCAGCGAUGGAUGUCUUGGCUCGCGCAACGAUGAAGGACGCAGUGAAAUGCGAAACGCAAUGUGAAUUGCAGAAUUCAGGGAACCAUCAGAUUUCUGAACGCAAAUGGCACCUU
rnacentral:rRNA from 1 species